rnacentral:rRNA from 1 species
UACGGAGGAUGCAAGCGUUAUCCGGAAUGAUUGGGCGUAAAGCGUCCGCAGGUGGCUAUGUAAGUCUGCUGUUAAAGAGUGAGGCUCAACCUCAUAAGAGCAGUGGAAACUACAUGGCUAGAGUGCGUUCGGGGCAGAGGGAAUUCCUGGUGUAGCGAUGAAAUGCGUAGAUAUCAGGAAGAACACCGGUGGCGAAAGCGCUCUGCUAGGCCGCAACUGACACUGAGGGACGAAAGCUAGGGGAGCGAAUGGG